rnacentral:lncRNA from 10 species
CAGGAGCUGCUGGGGUAAAACUCCCAGGGCCGCGCGGCCUGAACGCCCAGGAUGUCCUCUGCAGAGAGAGGCAGAGAGUUUUCACCAGCUGGACGCAGAAGUGGCAGUGAGAUUCAAAGCAUGAGAAGGAUUUGACAUGCCACUGCUGGCUUCAAGACGGAAGAGGCCAUUGGCUAGGAAUGUGGGUGGCCUCUGAAAGCUAAGAGCAAGGAAGCCGCACCAUAGGUUCCACAGCUGAAAUGAACUAGAUUCUGCUAGAAUUAGAGAGCUUCCAGACAAGAACUCAGCCCAGUCCAUACGCUGAUGUCCACCUUGUGAGCAGAGAGCCCGUGCUGCCCUUCUGAUGGACAGAACUGUGAACUCACAGACGGGUGCAGUUUGAGCUGCUCGUAGGAUUUUGAGGAUUUGUCAGGAGCAGCAGAAGCAAGUGCAGGGGAGCUCAGAGUGCAGAGGGCAGGAGGGGCUUCCCCGGGAGAUGAGGUGGCAGUGUGUCCUGGGAAGAGUGUGUGGGAGGCGGGCAGGUGGGGGAGGCCUAACCUCUUCUCAGGGUUCCAAGAUCUCAAAAGCCAAGGACAAGCACCCUUGUCCUUACACCUGUCAAGCUUGACAGAGCCGCAUCUCUGAUAAUGAUUGUUAUCAGGAGAUGGGGGGAGAGAAGAGGGGUAGGUGAUGAGCCAUCAGGGUUAUGUCAGAGGUGAUUUAUGUUAGUUUUGUUUACAAUACUUAAAUUUUUUUUUUUUUAGACAGAGUCUCACUCUGUCACGCAUGCUAGAGUCCAGUGGCGCUAUCUUGGCUCACUGCAACCUCUGCCUCUGGGGUUCAAGUGAUUCUCCUGCCUCAGCCUCCAAGUAGCUGGGACUACAGGCGCCCGCCACUGUGCCUGGCUGAUUUUUGUAUUUUCAGUAGAGAUGGGGUUUCGCCAUGUUGGCCAGGAUGGUCUUGAACCCCUGACCUCAGGUGAUCCACCCGCCUCAGCCUCCUGAAGUGCUGGGAUUACAGGCGUGAGCCACUGCACCCUGCCUAUGAUACUUAAAUUUUUUGUAAGAAGAAUAUAUCCAAGUAGUACUUACAUAAUUUAAGAAAUACUUGCUGCCUGUUCUGUAACCCUGUGCCCCAACGUCCCAGAGCUCUGAGGGGUGGGGGCGCGGGAGCAGCUCCACUCCAAGCCUCAUUGUUCACAGCGUCUCUUGCUUGAUCACCUGCUGGCUGUUUCGAGCUGAUCAUACAGCCUGCGGAUCAUUCGGGCUCUUUGAUUCUGCUACUUAUUUCUCCAGACUUUCAGCUGUUUUAUCUAUCUAUGUUAGAUGUUGAAAGGGAAGCAAAAUCCAGGAUCAAAUCUAUCUGGCUGCUUUUCUGGUUAAAAAACGACGUGAGGGAAAGAAGAUGAGCCUUUUAACUUAAAAAACAAAUUCACCUGUUGAGCCCUGUGGCAAAGAAAGCUGAUGCCUCCAAAAUAUCUAUUCCCUCCUCCUUCAUUAGACUUUUUUUUUUCUUUUUUUGAGAUGGAGUCUCGCUCUGUUGCCCAGGCUGAAGUGCAGUGGCACAAUCUUGGCUCACUACAACCUCCACCUCCUGGGUUCAAGCAAUUCUCCUGCCUCAGCCUCCCAAGUAGCUGGGAUUACAGGCGCCUGCCACCAUGCCAGGCUAAUGUUUUGUAUUUUUAAUAGAGAUGGGGUUUCAUCAUUUUGGCCAGACUGGUCUCAAACUCCUGACCUCAGGUGAUCCACCUGCCUCAGCCUCCCAGAGUGCUGGGAUUACAGGCGUGAGCCACUGCAUCUGACUCCUUUGACUCUUUUUCUGGGCACUUGGUCAGAUAUAAAGACUAUAAUUUUUAGCUUCCUUUGCAGCUAGGUGUGGCCUCAUGAUACAUUCUGCCCAGUGUGAUAGAAAUGAGCAAAAAGCAUGCGCCCUUCAAAAUAUGACCUUAAAGAGAGAAGUAAUGCCCUUCUCCUUUGUUGGCUGGAAAGACUGCCUGUAGGCUUGAUGGCUGGAGCUCAAGCAGCCGUCUUGAACUAUGAGGAUGACCCCACAUGCCCAUCACAUCUGAAAGGCCUCAAGGCCUUUGGGCGAGACGGUAUGGGCCAGGCAACCAGCCUCAUGAUGUGUCCCACACCGCCUAACAGAUGAGUGAGUGUCCCAGGUCUGGGUUCCCUUACCCCUCUCUUGAAUCUACAGAAGAGAAGUUUCAUGAUCUCAGAUCACAGCCCUAUGGAAGCUCUUGCCAAACACUGGGGAAGCCUAACUCUAAUAAAAGUGUUCCCAUGGGAAGUCCAACACAGCUCUCAUUCUGAAUGACCUGUAUUGUUGGUCCAAGCAGGGAUACAUCAAAGAGACUGGUGGUUUAUUAGCAUUACCCAGAAGGUCAGUGUCAC